AACGUAGGAGACAAACGUUAUCCGGAGUUACUGGGCGUAAAGGGCGUGCAGGUGGUCUGUUAAGUCUGGCGUGAAAGCUCCUGGCUAAACCGGGAGAGGUCGUUGGAUACUGGCGGACUAGAGGACGGUAGAGGCGUGUGGAAUUCCGGGUGUAGUGGUGAAAUGCGUAGAGAUCCGGAGGAACACCAGUGGCGAAGGCGGUUGCCUGGGGCUUUGCUGACGCUGAUGCGCGAAAGCGUGGGGAGCGAUCCGG
rnacentral:rRNA from 1 species